rnacentral:rRNA from 1 species
AUUCCAGCUCCAAUAGCGUAUAUUAAAGUUGUUGCAGUUAAAAAGCUCGUAGUUGGAUUUCUGGUCUGAUGCCCUGGCCCGCGUCCGAUUUCGGAGUGAGUGCCGGCUGUGCGUCUACCAUCCUUCUAGAAAACGGAUCUACCCUUCACUGGGCCGGGUUCGCGAUCUAGAUCUUUUACUGUGAGAAAAUUAGAGUGUUUCAAGCAGGCAAUUGCAGGAAUACAUUAGCAUGGAAUAACGAAUGGGUCUACAAUUUGGUUGAUUGUAGAUUGCGAUUGAUAGGGACAGUUGGGGGCAUUAGUAUUUAAUUGUCAGAGGUGAAAUUCUUGGAUUAGUUAAAGACUAACGUAUGCGAAAGCAUUUGCCAAGGAUGUUUUCAUUG